ensembl:lncRNA
GCCAGUCUGUUCUGAAAGAGUGUCAGUUCCUGUUCUCUUUACUGUUGAUUUUUCAUGCUCUGAAUGAGUUCAUAAUAAUGCAUCUUUUAAUCCUUCACCUCUAGAGUGUGAAGCAGCAUCAGUUUAAGGGCAACAUCAAGGCAAGGCUUGGGAGGCCGAUGAUGAGUGGAGGCUUGCGUGGGAUGUCCAGAUCCUGGAGAAGACCAAGAGGAAGAAGCAUACUGCUGAGGGGAGCUUUGUCACAGAGAUGGACAAAUGGCAGCUUGAUUCAACAACAGCCCGGACCUCAUAUAAGCAGAGGAGGACUUACACGAAGUAGAGGACUAAGAGGAGCUCUCCGAGGCAGAGGUAGAGGCAUGCUGUUUGUAGGCCGUGACUCGGCUGGAAAAAGUGCUAGACGAGACAGUCGCCCUCUCCCCACUCGAGAGGAGCUGGAUGCACAGCUGGAUGAUUACAUGUCCAUGACCAAGAGCCAACUGGAUGCCCAGCUGGAUGCAUACAUGGCAGAAGUUGACCCUGAAGACCUACUGUAAUGAAGCCAUCACCCCCACAGGGUAAUUUUGUACUUAAAGCCCAUUUCAUAGAAACCUGAGACUGGGUUAAAAGCACUGAUAAUUUCCAAGCAUAUAAGAAUAUCCUUAACCAUGUCUCAUUAAGGUUUAAUAUUGUUGAGUUGACGUUGUUUUAGGAGAUUGCGGUGCAUUAUUCCAGUAUAUCUACGUUAAAUAAACUUAUGGUAGCAUGCUUUGUGGACUGAAAAUGAUGAUAAAAAGAAAAUAUGGAAAUCUCAAUUACUGAAGUGUUACAGAAGCUAAUGUGUGAUUCCUGUAGAAAACCAUGUCCCCUUUUUUGACCUCAGAUUUUUGGUUCUUGCAUCUAUUUGUACAGAAGUCUGUAACUUCUGUAAGAAUGUUCUUGUAAGCUAAAUACAGAGCAAGAUUAUAUUAAGUGUAUACAUCUCUGAUCAACAUUUUGCUUGAAAGUCUGCAAUUACAUUUCUAUCUCCCGGAAAUUGUAAAUAUUGAGAGAAUUCAUAUCCAAAAAAUGUGGCCACUUCUAUUGGCGUCAUGGUAAAACAGCCAUCUGUAAUGCAUCCCUUAUAUAUUUGGUUAGAUUCCUUUGAUAAUUUCAGUAAUUUCUUUUACACAUAUGUAGACUUGAGAAAAUAUUUGGACAAUUAAAACAAUAUUCCCUAAAUUGCAACAUUUCUAGCAGUUCGAGAGGAUGAAGGCAGUGUAAUUUUUAUUUAUUGCUAAUGCAGUAAAUGCACAAAAGAGCCAGGUUCUGCCUCAGAGUUGUUUAACUUGUUUUCUUGAGGGACGGUUUGGUUAUCACAUUAAAUGUAAUUCCAUCUCAUUAUUUCUGUUGAAUCAGUUGGUUCAAUUUAAAGGUACUGCUUUUGUUUCAAGUUGAAAAUCUUUCAGAAGAUCAUGGCAAUGAGACAUUUUGUGCUUAAAAAGACCUGCUUGUUCAUAUUUACUUAACUGUUUAAAACUCUAGUUUGUGUACACUGUUGCCAUGUCAUUCCUAUUGUUCUUUAUUUUAUAAAUGUUUAUUCAAUAAAUAAAAAGUGUUUUUUUGACACCA